rnacentral:misc_RNA from 1 species
AAGUCGUAACAAGGUUACCGUAGGUGAACCUGCGGUAGGAUCAUUAACAAAAUUUUCCAAAACUUACCUUUUGUGCAUAUUAAUUAUUUUUGAGUAAUAAUUGAUGUUUUCAAUUAUUAUAAAAAAAAAAUACUUUGUAUGAUUAUUAUAUAUUUUUUUUUUCGAAAAAAAUAUUUUAAAAAUUUACAACUUUUGACAACGGAUCUCUAGGCUCUC